ACGGGAGGCAGCAGUGGGGAAUAUUGGACAAUGGGGGCAACCCCGAUCCAGCGACGCCGCGUGAGUGAAGAAGUAUUUCGGUAUGUAAAGCUCUAUCAGCAGGGAAGAAAAUGACGGUACUUGACUAAGAAGCCCCGGCUAACUACGUGCCAGCAGCCGCGGUAAUACGUAGGGGGCAAGCGUUAUCCGGAUUUACUGGGUGUAAAGGGAGCGUAGACGGCAAAGCAAGUCUGAAGUGAAAGCCCCGGGCUCAACCCGGGAACUGCUUUGGAAACUGUUUAGCUAGAGUGCAGGAGAGGUAAGUGGAAUCCCUAGUGUAGCGGUGAAAUGCGUAGAUAUUAGGAGGAACACCAGUGGCGAAGGCGGCUUACUGGACUGUAACUGACGUUGAGGCUCGAAAGCGUGGGGAGCAAACAGGAUUAGAUACCCUGGUA
rnacentral:rRNA from 1 species